CCUUGAUGAUGACAUCUGCACACGUCUUACGCCUUGUGUCAACGCCAGACCUGCAAAGGUGAACCCACUGGUGUUGCCAGGGCAACAAGGGGACAAUUUGUUGGGGUUUCCAACAGUCUGAAAGGA